GGAAUAUUGGACAAUGGGCGCAAGCCUGAUCCAGCCAUGCCGCGUGUGUGAUGAAGGCCUUAGGGUUGUAAAGCACUUUCACCGGAGAAGAUAAUGACGGUAUCCGGAGAAGAAGCCCCGGCUAACGUCGUGCCAGCAGCCGCGGUAAUACGAAGGGGGCUAGGGUUGUUCGGAAUUACUGGGCGUAAAGCCAACGUAGGCGGAUCGAUCAGUCAGGGGUGAAAUCCCAGAGCUCAACCCUGGAACUGCCUUUGAUACUGUCGGUCUAGAGUAUGGAAGAGGUGAGUGGAAUCCCGAGUGUAGAGGUGAAAUUCGUAGAUAUUCGGAGGAACACCAGUGGCGAAGGCGGCUCACUGGUCCAUUACUGACGCUGAGGUGCGAAAGCGUGGGGAGCAA
rnacentral:rRNA from 1 species